rnacentral:rRNA from 1 species
UACAGAGGGGGCAAGCGUUGUUCGGAAUUACUGGGCGUAAAGGGCGCGUAGGCGGCCUGCUAAGUCGAACGUGAAAUCCCCGGGCUCAACCCGGGAACUGCAUCCGAUACUGGUGGGCUUGAAUCCGGGAGAGGGAUGUGGAAUUCCAGGUGUAGCGGUGAAAUGCGUAGAUAUCUGGAGGAACACCGGUGGCGAAGGCGGCAUCCUGGACCGGUAUUGACGCUGAGGCGCGAAAGCCAGGGGAGCAAACGGG